UCUGAUCUCUUUGAUCAAAGGUCAAAUAGGAGAAUCACCUUUAGACUGUUGGAAAGAUCUAGGAUUAAAUAUCUAUGACUUCCUUUUAGGACCAUAGUGAACAGGAUCAGUUCACUGAACAAAGCCUGAUCCAGUCCACUCUGUCCAAGUCAUCCUAUCAGGACGGACCUGGUUCUGGUCCAAGUGACAGUCUGAUCCCACCUGCUUCUCAGUCUGCUUACCUGAACUUCACUGGACCUGGAACUCUGACUGGGAUUCCGGUACCAGAUCAGGAGGAACUGGUUCUGACUCCAUUUGGUGGCAGAACAGAGAAAAGAUUCUGGAUCACGGUGAGGGAAUUUACCUGGAAGAUUUAAGGCCAAACAAGAAAACCAGACAACCAUCUCUUUUAAGAUUCUUGUCCAAUCCAACAGAAGGUGGACCUGGCACAACUACAGAAAAUGACCACAGCGUUGACCAGUAUGAACGUUCAGAUAUUGGAGACACACAGAUAAAAGAUGAACAACAACUGAAGAGCCGGCGCUCAACCAAGCGGAUUUGACCCAAACAACUUACGACAUAGAUAUAUCAAAGGCCAAGGACCUGAUUAGUGAAAUGGACGACUCUGGAAAAUUCCAACUUCUUCAGACCAGAAAACCCAAAUCUUUCAAUUUCCCUGCCAGAGAAUUUAAAUACAACCGAAGAGCCAGUGGGGUGACCAAAAGAACAUGCCAGAGGGACUGGCUGGACAAGUAUGAGUUUUUAUCAUUUUUACAUCAUAUAAAGAUGAUCUACUGUCAGGAUCAACAUUCAGGCAGGAAGUGAAGUUGUGGCACACAAAGUGGUCAUCAUCAGUGGAAAAACCCAGCUCUCUCCCUGAAAUUCUAAAGAUAACAAACAUGAAGUGCUACCCAAACAUUUAUAUGAUUCGUCACCUUCUGUCAGUCAUACCUGUUACCAGUGCUUCUGUGGAAAGCGCUAACUCGGGACUUAAAGCAGUGAAAACUUUGCUGAGGUCAACAAUGGGACAGGAAAGGUUUGUGGCUUUGCUACUUUUGUAUUUGCACAAGGACAUUUAGUUAGACAUCAACAAAAUCAUAGACAUAUUUGCCCAGAAGGUUGACAUUUGUAAACCCAUUAUCAUCAUCAUAAAGUUUGUAGUAGAGAACAAUAUUCUUUGUCUGGUUUAACUUUUUUUUUUUUUUUUUUUUUUCAACAGUUUAUCUUGUUAAAAUAUAUUCAAAACUCCUUUGUCUUACUUAAACCCAAGUCUUUGGGUUUUUUUAUUUCAUGUUCUGUGUAAAUAUCAUUUCUGGAAAUAAAGAAACUCCUUGUUUGAUUAAUUGUUGAUAAGGAUCAUUUUUUCUCUUCAAACUACCUUUUAACCUUGUGCAUGCUUUAAAAACCGAGAGAUCCU